rnacentral:tRNA from 1 species
UUUGAGGUAGUUUAAUAUUGAGAAUGGCAGCUUUGGGUGUUGCUGGUGCAGGUUCCUGUCUUCGGUU